AUUGAACGCUGGCGGCAGGCCUAACACAUGCAAGUCGAGCGAGCGGCGGACGGGUGAGUAAUGUCUGGGAAACUGCCUGAUGGAGGGGGAUAACUCCUGGAAACGGUAGCUAAUACCGCAUACCAUCAGAUGUGCCCAGAGGGGAUUAGCUAGUAGGUGGGGUAAUGGCUCACCUAGGCGACGAUCCCUAGCGGGUCUGAGAGGAGGACCAGCCACAAGGGAAAUGGGACACGGUCCAGACUCCUACGGGAGGCAGCAGGGGGGAAUAGUGCACAAUGGGCGCAAGCCUGAUGCAGCCAGGCCGCGUGUGUGAAGAAGGCCUUCGGGUUGUAAAGCACUUUCAGCGGGGAGGCGUUACCCGCAGAUGAAGCACCGGCUAACUCCGUGCCAGCAGCCGCGGUAAUAC
rnacentral:rRNA from 1 species